GAUAGAGCUUGCUCUUAUGAGUUAGCGGCGGACGGGUGAGUAACACGUGGGUAACCUGCCCAUAAGACUGGGAUAACUCCGGGAAACCGGGGCUAAUACCGGAUAACAUUUUGAACCGCAUGGUUCGAAAUUGAAAGGCGGCUUCGGCUGUCACUUAUGGAUGGACCCGCGUCGCAUUAGCUAGUUGGUGAGGUAACGGCUCACCAAGGCAACGAUGCGUAGCCGACCUGAGAGGGUGAUCGGCCACACUGGGACUGAGACACGGCCCAGACUCCUACGGGAGGCAGCAGUAGGGAAUCUUCCGCAAUGGACGAAAGUCUGACGGAGCAACGCCGCGUGAGUGAUGAAGGCUUUCGGGUCGUAAAACUCUGUUGUUAGGGAAGAACAAGUGCUAGUUGAAUAAGCUGGCACCUUGACGGUACCUAACCAGAAAGCCACGGCUAACUACGUGCCAGCAGCCGGCCGGUAAUUGA
rnacentral:rRNA from 1 species